rnacentral:rRNA from 1 species
GACGAACGCUGGCGGCGUGCCUAAUACAUGCAAGUAGAACGCUGAAGAGAGGAGCUUGCUCUUCUUGGAUGAGUUGCGAACGGGUGAGUAACGCGUAGGUAACCUGCCUUGUAGCGGGGGAAAACUUUUGGAAACGUUACAUAAACCGCCUUAACAUUGAUUAACACAUUUCAUUUUUUGAAAAGGGGCAAUUGCUCCCUUACAAGCGGGACUUGAGUGGUUUUAGCAAGUAGGUGAGGUAACGGCUAACCUGGCAAACGAUACAUAGCCGACCUGAGAGGGGGAUCGGCCAAACUGGGACCGAGACACGGCCCAGAAUCCGACGGGAGGCAGCAGUAGGGAAGCCUCGGCAAUGGGGGCAACCCUGACCGAGCAACGCCGCGUGAGGGAAGAAGGGUGUCGGAUCGUAAAGCUCGGUUGUAAGUCAAGAACGAGUGUGAGAGUGGAAAGUUCACACUGUGACGGUAGCUUACCAGAAAGGGACGGCUAACUACGUG